AUGCAGACGGAACAGAAGGGACACAGAUGGCCAAGGGAGCACUGUUCUUCCGCACUGAGCUGGAUAGAUGAGCCUCAGGAUAUGUGCCCAGGCAGUGUCCAGGUGGGCAUGCUGAUGGAGGGGUUACUUCCCAGGCUCGGUCGAGCACCCCACACCUGCUCCCCCUGUCUGUUAGAGCCCCAGAACCCCUCCCUCCCUCCCCCCCAGCCCCUCUGCCUCCCUCCCUCUCCAUCCUCCCUCCCCCCCAGCCCCUCUGCCUCCCUCCCUCUCCAUCCUCCUCCCUCCCCCCAGCCCCUCUGCCUCCCUCCCUCUCCAUCCUCCUCCUCCCUCCCCCCAGCCCCUCUGCCUCCAUCCCUCUCCCUCCUCCUCCCUCCCUCCCCCCAGCCCCUCUGCCUCCCUCCCUCUCCCUCCUCCUCCCUCCCUCCCCCAGCCUCUCUGCCUCCCCCCUCCUCCCUCCCUCCCCCAGCCUCUCUGCCUCCCCCCUCCUCCCUCCCUCCCUCCCCCCAGCCCCUCUGCCUCCCUCCCUCUCCAUCCUCCUCCCUCCCUCCCCCCAGCCCCUCUGCCUCCCUCCCUCUCCCUCCUCCUCCCCCUUGUCCUCCUUUCUUCCUCCCACCAGUGGUCUUAGUAGUGUUCUGCCCUGGAUUCCGGCAAAGCCCCUGGGGUCCUGCGCUAAUUCAGCUGAUCACUGACGCCAGGUCGAAAGCAAAAACGCGGUUCUACCACGUCAUACUCCUGCCACCAGCUUCUUCAUGGUAGCCUGCUGUGCCAACACCAAGCUUCGACUCCGCCGUGACUUAGAACAAGGGCUGGGAACCUGCAGCCUGGGGGCCACGUCUUGCUUGCUGUUUGGCUGUUUGUUUCUAUUGAUAAAGUUUUAUUGGAACCCAGUCACACCCAGUCCUUGCCUACUUGCAGCUGCCUUCGUUAUGACGGAGGUGCCAAAUCCCACCGAGCCUGCAACGUGUAUCACCUGGCCCUGGCAGAAUGCAUUUGCUGACCCCUGAUUGGGAGGUGCCACAAGCCCUGGCCGCAGCCUGCUCCUCCAGCCUUGCUCCUCCCCGCCUGCCCCUGCAGGCACUUCAGCUGCACCAGGUUCAGUGCUCCCAGGGCCUGUGCACUCACUUGCUGCCUGCCUGGAAUGCUCCCCUCAGCCCUGCACAAGGCUGGCCCCUCCUCGGUACCCCAGCCUCAACCUUGAGAUCCCCCCUCCCCGGCCAUGCACUCCCAUUCUUCCAUCUCGCUCAGUGCCUUGCUUUAUUUCUGUUCCCUCAUACACCGACUCUCUCCACAGUGCCUAGGACUCAACCCAUAUGUCAUGCACUCGUGUGUCCCUACCGCACUGGGGCCACGACCACUUAGGGGUGCUCAGUAAGUGUCAGGUGAACCACUGAAUAAAAGGUGAAGCUUUUCAAAGAGAUAACA
rnacentral:lncRNA from 1 species